UGUGGCUCAGUGGAAGAGCACUUGCCUAGCACGUUUGAGGUACUGGGUUCAAUCCCCAGCA
rnacentral:tRNA from 1 species